UAUCUUCCUAGCUGUAGAUUCCUGACCCACUUGGGUUGGUGCACAAGGAAGCAAGAUGAGCCUUCUCCAUCUCCUACACACUCUGAAAUAAUCUGUCAGAAGAUCCUCAUCCUGCCGUGCUGGCUUACUCUGGAUCAAGAGACAAAGACUCCAGCUCUAUCUCUGAUGGACCGAGUAGGAAGAAUCAGCAUGAGUCAACCCACCAGGUUUCCCAGAGCUUAAUCCAGAAGGGACCCAAACACUAGGGCCUCCCUCCAGUUACAUGUGACCAUGUGACUGAGCCAAUGAAAUAUGAGCAGAAGUGAUGAGUGUCACAACCAGACCAGAUCCAUAAAAAACUCCACCCUUGGCCCUCCAAGCUCUUCUCCCUGUUGACAGAUAAACUGGAGAUGUCCUCCUGAGCAACCUUGGAAACCACAUAUUGAAGAUGGUCUCUGAAUCACCCCUGGCCACCUGACUGGGAACACCAAAUAGGAUUGCUACAUGAGUGAAAAAUAAACAAUUUCUGGGCUGAGUCACUGAGACUUGUUUAUCUGUUCCAGCUGCUGGAGCUACCUUCACCAAUACAGGGGUAAUCAUAGUACCUUUUACUGGGAGGAUUAAGUGAGAUAAUGCUUACUCAACUGCCAGGUACACGGUAAGCACUCACCAUCAUCAACUUUUACUGUAGCAAGGAAGAGUUUACAGACCUG
rnacentral:lncRNA from 1 species